rnacentral:rRNA from 1 species
CCUACGGGAGGCAGCAGUGGGGAAUAUUGCACAAUGGGCGCAAGCCUGAUGCAGCAACGCCGCGUGAAGGAUGAAGGCCUUCGGGUUGUAAACUUCUGUCCUAGGGGAAGAAACAAAUGACAUUACCCUUGGAGGAAGCCCCGGCUAACUACGUGCCAGCAGCCGCGGUAAUACGUAGGGGGCGAGCGUUAUCCGGAAUUAUUGGGCGUAAAGAGUGCGUAGGUGGCACCUUAAGCGCAGGGUUUAAGGCAAUGGCUCAACCAUUGUUCGCCUUGCGAACUGGGGUGCUUGAGUGCAGGAGGGGAAAGUGGAAUUCCUAGUGUAGCGGUGAAAUGCGUAGAUAUUAGGAGGAACACCAGUGGCGAAGGCGACUUUCUGGACUGUUACUGACACUGAGGCACGAAAGCGUGGGGAGCAAACAGGAUUAGAUACCCCAGUA